GUGGGGAUCACAGGUCCUGUUGUCCUGCACCAGCGUUUCAUUCCUGUCUCUGGAACUUGCUCACCCUGGAAGCCAAGGCCGGUGACCUCAUGUGUGACACAGCUUAUCCUGGCAGCCCCUCCCUCAGUGCCCAGCCCACUGGGGCCUCCGUCCCUGGAGACGCUGCUGCCAUCUGAGUUCUCCUGGUUUUCAGGUGUCCUUGGGAUUCGGGUUCGAUCCCUAGUCAGGGAACUAAGAUCCCACAUGCCGCGGGGCAACUAAGCCCGCAUGCCGCGACUACCAAGCCCGCGCCGUCUGGAGCCCGAACGCUGCAACUAAGACCCGAUG